GACGAACGCUGGCGGCGUGCUUAACACAUGCAAGUCGAGCGGUAAGGCCCUUUCGGGGGUACACGAGCGGCGAACGGGUGAGUAACACGUGGGUGACCUGCCCUCAGCUCUGGGAUAAGCCUGGGAAACCGGGUCUAAUACUGGAUAUGACUCCAUGACGCAUGUUGUGGGGUGGAAAGCCUUGUGCGGCUGAGGAUGGGCCCGCGGCCUAUCAGCUUGUUGGUGGGGUGANGGCCUACCAAGGCGACGACGGGUAGCCGGCCUGAGAGGGCGACCGGCCACACUGGGACUGAGACACGGCCCAGACUCCUACGGGAGGCAGCAGUGGGGAAUAUUGGACAAUGGGCGCAAGCCUGAUCCAGCGAUGCCGCGUGUGUGAAGAAGGCCUGCGGGUUGUAAAGCACUUUCAGUAGGGAAGAAAAGCCGAGUGCUAAUAUCACUCGGUCUUG
rnacentral:rRNA from 1 species